rnacentral:rRNA from 1 species
AUGUGCGAUGGUCUCAGGACUCUUGCAAGCAUCUAUGACGGUCUUGAUGAGAUCAUUUGCCUACCAAGACACCAAGUUUGCUCCUUCCAGCAAAGGAAGAUUUUGGAUGGAGAGAUGGAAUGCUCCGUUGAGCUGUUAGAUCUCUGCAACAGCAUGCAAGAGACCUUCUCCGAGAUGGUGGUCAUCAUCCAAGAGCUGCAGCUUGCUCUAAGAAAAGGAGAUGAUGCAGCAGCUCAAGCAAAGAUCUAG